rnacentral:rRNA from 1 species
AUUGAACGCUGGCGGCAGGCUUAACACAUGCAAGUCGAGCGAGCGGCGGACGGGUGAGUAAUGUCUGGGAACCUGCCUGAUGGAGGGGGUUACCUCCUGGAAACGGUAGCUAAUCCCGCAAACCAUCAGAUGUUCCCAGAUGGGAUUAGCUAGUAGGUAAGGUAACGGCUUACCUAUGAGACGAUCCCUAGCUGGUCUGAGAGGAUGAUCAGCCACAAGGGGACUGAGAAACGGCCCAGACUCCUAAGGGAGGCAGCAGUGGGGAAUAGUGCACAAUGGACGCAAGCCUGAUGCAGCAAUGCCGCGUGAGUGAAGAAGGCCUUCGGGUUGUAAAGUACUUUCGGUAGGGAGGCGUUACCGACAGAGAAAGCACCGGCUAACUCCGUGCCAGCAGCCGCGGUAAUAC